CUCGCGGUCUUAACAUUUUCAUUCAGAGCUAAGUGUCUGUUAAAAUAAAUAAUACAACUACAACUAGAUAACACUUAUAAUAAAUAACAACGAGUCUGUUAACAAAGAGACUAUGACAUAUGUAUACGAUUAUACAUGUACUAAAACACAGCAUAUGUUUUCAUUAAUGAAUGUGCAAAGCACGAUAUCACAGGCGAGAUGUGUAAAUUAAAGGAAAAAAAAACAAGAGUCGUCCUCUAAUCUCAGGUACAUAAGUGAAAUUAAACUACAAAAACUAGGUGAAUGUGCCCCUAUGAGAGCCGGGCGACGUCUUUACGUAAAAUUGUGUUAAGGCGUUUUGAUCUGUAUUAUGGCUAAUAUUUUCGUUGAGAAUGGCAAUUGGCGACAAUUUCUCACUGAAACUUUUUAGGUGAUGCAUCGCAUAUUCGCAGUGGUUGGAUAUUUGCAGCAUCAUAUAUGGAAGCGUUGGAGUAUCUUUUCGUUGGAUUCUGGUAGUUUUUGUUGACGCACUUUCUCAGGACUUUGCGUUCAAAGAUUUCCAUCUCCAUAGCAACUACUGGUGAGAUGGAGAACCAAGUUGGGAAUCCAUAAAGCAGCACAGUCCUAAUGGCCACUUUAUAUAAAAGCAGUUUGGUAUUUUGUGGAUAUGCUCAAAUAUUUUGCCGACAUUUGAAAGCAAGGAGAUAGGCCGAUAUUCCGCCACCGUUUUGCUGCUUGGCUUCUUCUUUAUGGGGAUUAUAUUGGCCAUUUUCCACCCCAAUGGAAAGUAACCCAAGUUUAUGCAGUUAUUAAAAAUGCAUUCGAGGAACUGCAGAGACGAUAAAGAUUACUCCUUUAAUCUUAUCGACACUAGUAAAAUGGAGGGUAUCAGGAUUUUGGACUGCCGGGAAGCUGUCGCUGAAUGUAUAUAUUUGGCGAGGUGUUGGAGAAAGGAAGUCAGCCACCCUUGAGUCAAAAUCUAUGACUGGAGUUGUCUGGCUAAAAGUUGCCUCAUACGAUACUAGGAAUUUUUCAGCAAUCUCCGGUCGGUUGAAAAUUAAAGUGUUGUCGUGCGAAAUACUAUGACAAAGGAAAGACUUCGACCUUCCAACUAUGUUGUAGAUUUCUUUAAAAGCCGUGGGUCAUGGCUUGAUGUUCUUUACUUUUUUAUUGAAAUGGAGAGCAAACUGUCUACAAGUUCUGUCCGUCCGUAGGAGUCCUGGAAUGUAUCCCGUAAAUGUACGUAAGAAGAAAGGGGAACCUGGCGCACUGUCGGCUGACCAGUGCCUACGAUGUCACCCAGUAGUCGGAUGUUCCCACGAUAGACAGCGGAGGUGGAGACACUUAUGUUAGGCGUUUGGUAAUUUUAGUUUUCGGUUAACUUUAUAUAUUUAUUUUUAUUAUACAUAACAUAACAAUUCUUCCUUUUUGGUUUUUUAUUAUUGAGUUCUUUUUAAUUAUUUUCAGGGUUUUUUGUUUAACUUCUCUUUCAUUUCAGAUCUUAAUAACUUUUCUUUCAUUUCAGUUUUUCAAUUUAUUUAUUUCUUUUGUACUUAGGCUUUUCAAACCGUUCAACUUUUUAUUCUUUGCCCUUUGACUUUCAAUCACUUAAACAUUUCAAGCUUUGUUUAU